AAGAUUUUCACACACACAAUGAUUUUCCGUUUCCUCUGAAAGUCGAAAUCCCUGUUUUAUUUUUACGGUACGUAGGCCUAGCUUGGCUUUUUUCUACAUUAUUGAAAUGUUGUCGAAAAGGAAGUUCCACAUGAUGAUGCAGAGAGAUUUUAAUAUGAUGCCUAUGCUGAUGGUAAUGGUAUUUAUUGUACUAUGUUUAUGUUGUUUAUUAGCUGUGGAAGGGGUUGAACAACCUAUUAUAGUUCAUGAGGCUGGUGUAGCUGAAUUAUACUUCAACUAUAGAUAUAUAAACUCAACCGAACCACCUAUUUUGAGAUUUUCAAAAUUUGAAACCAAUGGCGAGUUAACUUACAUAGGUACAUACCAUAAUGGAAGUAGUAAUGUUGAAGAUAGGUUCAAAGCAAGGAUAGACUUACUUACUGGGAAGCUCAGGAUUAAUUCGACAAUGCGUGAAGAUUCUGGAUGUUAUGAAUGUGAAUUGCAGAUUUUACGUGAUCAGCUUUUCAUAAAAAAAACAGUUAAUCUCACUGUUUUAUAUUUGGACAUGCCAGUAAUCGUCUCACCGAAAAACGUUGUAGAGGGUGAUUUGUUGGAUAUUUUGUGCUACAGUGGUGCUGCUUAUCCUGAUCCAAUACUAACUCUUUUUAAGGGUCAACAGCUGAUACAUAAUAAGACUGGCACUAUAUUAAAUCAUACCAUCAGCAAAGCAACAAGGAAUGAUACUGGGGAUUACAUCUGUCGUGCAACUAAUGACGUGGGGAGCAAGGAUAGUUACUUAAUGAGAAUACAUAUCAAAUAUUCAAAUCAUUCAAAGGAAGAUAAGGAAGAUACACCCAGUAAUCAGCCUACAAGUAAAGCAAUAAAAUUAGGGAUAGGUGUGGGCAUACCAUCAUUUCUUCUUCUUCUGGUGAUUAUUGCAUUUAUUAGUGGGAAACAUGCCAACUUUACAGAACGCAACUUAACAAGUUAGUAAAAAUAAAUUUGUAACAUACUGUUUUUUUCUUUGUAGAGUCAAGAAAUUUCAGAAUAACCAAGGUGAUGAUGUUACAAGAACUCAAAAUACGGUUGAAAUGCAUCCAGUAUUACAAAAUGGGAUCCAAAACAAUGGUCGUUAAUAAAACAUUAUUAAGGAUAAGUGUUACA
rnacentral:misc_RNA from 1 species